GAGUCUGAUCUUGGCUCAGAUUGAACGCUGGCGGCAUGCCUUACACAUGCAAGUCGAACGGUAACAGGUCUUCGGAUGCUGACGAGUGGCGAACGGGUGAGUAAUACAUCGGAACGUGCCCGAUCGUGGGGGAUAACGGAGCGAAAGCUUUGCUAAUACCGCAUACGAUCUACGGAUGAAAGCAGGGGACCGCAAGGCCUUGCGCGGACGGAGCGGCCGAUGGCCAGAUUAGGUAGUUGGUGGGAUAAAAGCUUACCAAGCCGACGAUCUGUAGCUGGUCUGAGAGGACGGACCAGCCACACUGGGACUGAGACACGGCCCAGACUCCUACGGGAGGCAGCAGUGGGAAUUUUGGACAAUGGGCGAAAGGCCUGAUCCAGCCAUGCCGCGUGCAGGAUGAAGGCCUCGGUGUAACGUAG
rnacentral:rRNA from 1 species